rnacentral:rRNA from 1 species
GAGUUUGAUCAUGGCUCAGAUUGAACGCUGGCGGCAUGCCUUACACAUGCAAGUCGAACGGCAGCAUGAUCUAGCUUGCUAGAUUGAUGGCGAGUGGCGAACGGGUGAGUAAUACAUCGGAACGUGCCCUGUAGUGGGGGAUAACUAGUCGAAAGAUUAGCUAAUACCGCAUACGACCUGAGGGUGAAAGUGGGGGACCGCAAGGCCUCAUGCUAUAGGAGCGGCCGAUGUCUGAUUAGCUAGUUGGUGAGGUAAAGGCUCACCAAGGCGACGAUCAGUAGCUGGUCUGAGAGGACGAUCAGCCACACUGGGACUGAGACACGGCCCAGACUCCUACGGGAGGCAGCAGUGGGGAAUUUUGGACAAUGGGGGCAACCCUGAUCCGGCAAUGCCGCGUGUGUGAAGAAGGCCUUCGGGUUGUAAAGCACUUUUGUCCGGAAAGAAAUCGCACUUACUAAUAUUAGGUGUGGAUGACGGUACCGGAAGAAUAAGGACCGGCUAACUACGUGCCAGCAGCCGCGGUAAUACGUAAGGUCCAAGCGUUAAUCGGAAUUACUGGGCGUAAAGCGUGCGCAGGCGGUUGUGCAAGACCGAUGUGAAAUCCCCGGGCUUAACCUGGGAAUUGCAUUGGUGACUGCACGGCUAGAGUGUGUCAGAGGGGGGUAGAAUUCCACGUGUAGCAGUGAAAUGCGUAGAGAUGUGGAGGAAUACCGAUGGCGAAGGCAGCCCCCUGGGAUAACACUGACGCUCAUGCACGAAAGCGUGGGGAGCAAACAGGAUUAGAUACCCUGGUAGUCCACGCCCUAAACGAUGUCAACUAGUUGUUGGGGAUUCAUUUCCUUAGUAACGUAGCUAACGCGUGAAGUUGACCGCCUGGGGAGUACGGUCGCAAGAUUAAAACUCAAAGGAAUUGACGGGGACCCGCACAAGCGGUGGAUGAUGUGGAUUAAUUCGAUGCAACGCGAAAAACCUUACCUACCCUUGACAUGCCACUAACGAAGCAGAGAUGCAUUAGGUGCUCGAAAGAGAAAGUGGACACAGGUGCUGCAUGGCUGUCGUCAGCUCGUGUCGUGAGAUGUUGGGUUAAGUCCCGCAACGAGCGCAACCCUUGUCUCUAGUUGCUACGAAAGGGCACUCUAGAGAGACUGCCGGUGACAAACCGGAGGAAGGUGGGGAUGACGUCAAGUCCUCAUGGCCCUUAUGGGUAGGGCUUCACACGUCAUACAAUGGUGCAUACAGAGGGUUGCCAAGCCGCGAGGUGGAGCUAAUCCCAGAAAAUGCAUCGUAGUCCGGAUCGUAGUCUGCAACUCGACUACGUGAAGCUGGAAUCGCUAGUAAUCGCGGAUCAGCAUGCCGCGGUGAAUACGU